AAGUCCGGGCAGCGGUUGGCCCCUGGGCACGCGGGGUCGGGGCCGCCCCUGGUCCACCGCUGCUGCUCGGUGGCUGGGCCGUCCGCCUCCACCCCUCUCGCAGUCAUGUGCCUGGCAGGGUGAGGGGCGGGGGCCGGCGAUGCCCGCGAGGCUGCCCCCCAGACUCCUGGGCUGGAAGGAGCGAUUGGCCGCCGAGGUGGGAAAGCAGGCCUGCGCCUUGGGGUCUCCUCGAGGUGUGUUCCUUAUUCCCUGCAUCCUGAUAGCCCUGGUCGGAGGAAUCCCCAUUUUCUUCUUGGAGAUCUCGCUGGGCCAGUUCAUGAAGGCCGGCAGCAUCAAUGUCUGGAACAUCUGUCCCUUGUUCAAAGGUGAGCAGCCCUUGGCCAGCCUCAGGGACUGCCCCCUUUUCCCAGCUGGCUCCCACUUGAGAAAUCUUUUCCUGUCCUGAGCACCAGGCCUGGGGCCACGUGAUGGCAUCCCAGUCUCGAGGGGGGAGCCUGGAGGAGAUGUUCAGGCCGCACAGUGAAUUUGGGGAAGCAGGGACUAGAGGGGGCAUAGGCAGCUCCACAAGGCAAGGACAGGCCAGGCAUAGCCGGGCUGGGGAUGGGACCUGCCCAGCACACUUGGCUCUCUAGGUAGGUCCUACUAUUACUGUCCCCAAGGACGCUGGGGCACAGACAGGUGGAGCGACGUACUGAGGUUGCCCACUACGGGGGCAACUGUCUCCAACACUACCUCAGGCUACUAGAAACUCCCCCCCUCCCCACCACCACCACCACCAGCUGCUGAGGACUGGAGCUACUGGGUGGCCAGGUGGAGGCUUGGACCUCCUGGAACCGCCAUGGUGGCAGUGGGACCCACAGAAGGGGCCAGGUGUGUAAGGCUGGAGACUCAACAGCACUUGGUCAGAUGGGGACAGGAGGAGAGGGGCUCGCUCUGCCUUGGGUCUAGGGGGCGGCUGGAGGAGAGGAGAGAGGCUGGGGAGUCAGCCCAGUGUUGGGGCUCACACAAGGGGGAGUCCAGGGGAGUCAGGAGCACCACAAACAAGGCUCCAGAAGGACAGACGGUGGGAGCACUGCCAGCCUGGGUGGGGAGAUAAAGGGGUGGCAGGGGAGGUGGCCAGGAAAGAAUCUACAUGGCAAGGACUUCCCGGCCCCAGGCCUGGGCUAUGCCUCCAUGGUGAUCGUCUUCUACUGCAACACCUACUACAUCAUGGUGCUGGCCUGGGGCUUCUAUUACCUGGUCAAGUCCUUUAGCACCACGCUGCCCUGGGCCACAUGUGGCCACACCUGGAACACUCCCGACUGUGUGGAGAUCUUCCGCCAUGAAGACUGUGCCAGUGCCAGCCUGGCCAACCUCACUUGUGACCAGCUUGCUGACCGCCAGUCCCCUGUCAUCGAGUUCUGGGAGAACAAAGUCUUGAGGCUGUCUGGGGGACUGGAGGUGCCAGGGGCCCUCAACUGGGAGGUGACCCUUUGUCUGCUGGCCUGCUGGGUGCUGGUCUACUUCUGUGUCUGAAAGGGGGUCAAAUCCAUGGGAAAGGUACCACUAGAGGCAUGCAGGGGGGAGGGUGGCUCAGCCCUGGGAGCUGGAUGUCUGUGCCAGGCACACCCGUAGCAACGGGAGGUGACCAGACAGAGUCUAGCCCUAAGGAAGGGGGAGGUACUGAAAGCCAAGCAACACUCCCCACCCUGCAAAUCCAGGGCCCAGCAGCCUUUGCUCCUGUGGGGAGAGGCCCCAGCAGGCACUGUCCCUUCCCUGUGCCCAUCACCCCCACCGGUGCCCUCCUGCCAGUCUCUGACUCUUGUGACAGUCUGCUGGACCUGGUCUGGCCAUCUGUUACCUGCCUAUCUUGCCUUGGGGACACAGAGCAGAGUCUGGCCACAUCCCUUGGGGGCUCCUGGUCAGGCUGGGGAGUCACCUGAACAAAGAAGACAAUGUCCAGAGCUGUGGGACAUGGCCAGCUCCCUGGGGGACAAGGUCCCCAGAGCAGCAUGUGGGAAGAGGGGGCAGACAGUGUGGCAGCCGCAUCUUGCCUGCCUCUGCCUGGCCCAGUUCCACUCUUCACCUGCUCAGCCCCGACCUCUCUCCAGAAGAGGAGGGGGGCCCGGCCCUGAUCCAAUAUCCCGCUCCCUGCCUGGGCCUCCCAUGCGUGCACUGCCCACACACUCACACAGCUCUCACUCCCCACAUGCUCCAUGCCUCCUGUCCCCACUGAGGAGAGCUCCUAGAGGCUCGCCCGCUCCCCACUGACAUGCAUCCCUGCAGACAAACGAGGCGCCCAGAGAGCUUCCCCACUGCACUUGCCAGGGCUGCCGGGGCCCAGCCUUGCCCCUAGCUUCCUCUGGCGGGAGCUAUGGCUCGGAGGAGAAUGGGGACCUCUGAACAUACCUGCCCGCAAGGGGGACCGGAGGUGCUCGGAGUGGGCUUGUGAGGGAGGUGGUGCCGCAGUCCCCGCUGAGCAGCCUGGCCCCCCAGAUCGUGUACUUCACUGCUACAUUCCCCUACGUGGUCCUGGUCGUGCUGCUUGUGCUUGGAGUGCUGCUGCCUGGCGCCCUGGACAGCAUCAUUUACUAUCUCAAGCCUGACUGGUCAAAGCUGGGGUCCCCUCAGGUGAGGUGGAGGUGGGGAGGCUGCAGCAGGGUGUUGUGGGGGAGCCCUGCAGGCCCCUCAUGCCUGCACUCUCCAGCCCUCCUCUAGGUAUGGAUAGAUGUGGGGACCCAGAUUUUCUUUUCUUAUGCCAUUGGCCUGGGGGCCCUCACAGCCCUGGGCAGCUACAACCGCUUCAACAACAACUGCUACAAGACGCCAUCAUCCUGGCUGUCAUCAACAGUGGGACCAGCUUCUUUGCUGGCUUCGUGGUCUUCUCCAUCCUGGGCUUCAUGGCUGCAGAGCAGGGCAUGCACAUCUCCAAGGUGGCAGAGUCAGGGUGGGAUGUAUGUCUUCCAGCUGUUUGACUACUACUCAGCCAGUGGCACCACCCUGCUCUGGCAGGCCUUUUGGGAGUGCGUGGUGGUGGUCUGGGUGUAUGGAGCUGACCGCUUCACGGACGACAUUGCCUGUAUGAUCGGGUACCGACCUUGCCCCUGGAUGAAAUGGUGCUGGUCCUUCUUCACCCCGCUGGUUUGCAUGGGCAUCUUCAUCUUCAACGUUGUGUACUACAAGCCGCUGGUCUACAAAAACACCAACGUGUACCCGUGGUGGGGUGAGGCCAUGGGCUGGGCCUUCGUGCUGUCCUCCAUGCUGUGCAUGCCACUGCACCUCCUGGGCUGCCUCCUCAGGGCCAAGGGCACCAUGGCUGAGUGCUGGAAGCACCUGACCCAGCCCAUCUGGGGCCUCCACCACUUGGAGUACCGAGCUCAGGAUGCAGAUGUCAGGGGCCUGACCACCCUGACCCCAGUGUCCGAGAGCAGCAAGGUCGUCGUGGUGGAGAGUGUCAUGGGACAGCUCAGCUCACAUCACCAGCUCACCUCUGGUCUGUGGGGCAAGAGGCUGCAAUAUUCCAUCCUGGGUGUCUGGGCUGCUAACCUGGCCUGCUCAGGCUUCCCACCCUGUGCCCUGGGCUGGGCACACCCCCGGGAAGGGACCCCGGACACGGCUCCCACAUCCAGGCUCAAGGCGGAUGCACUUCCUGCACCUCCAGUCUUCUGUGUAGCGGCUUUAACCCACGUAUGUCUGUCACGUCCAGUCCCGAGACGGCUGAGUGACCCCAAGAAAGGCUUCCCUGACACCCGGACAGAGGCUGGAGGGCUGGGGCUGGGUGAGGGUGGUGGGCCUGCGGGGACAUUCUUACUGUGCUAAAAAGCCACUGCAAACAUAGCAAUAAAAACCUGUCAUUUUCCAAAGCAG
ensembl:lncRNA SLC6A10P solute carrier family 6 member 10, pseudogene